CGUAGGGGGCAAGCGUUGUCCGGAUUUAUUGGGCGUAAAGAGCGUGUAGGCGGCCAGAUAGGUCAGCUGUGAAAACUCGAGGCUCAACCUCGAGAUGUCGGCUGAAACCAUCUGGCUAGAGUCCGGAAGAGGAGAAUGGAAUUCCCGGUGUAGCGGUGAAAUGCGCAGAUAUCGGGAAGAACACCCGUGGCGAAGGCGGUUCUCUGGGACGGUACUGACGCUGAGACGCGAAAGCGUGGGGAGCGAACAGGAUUAGAUACCCUGGUAGUCCACGCCGUAAACGAUGGGAACUAGGUGUGGGCGGUGUCGACUCCGUCCGUGCCGAAGCUAACGCAUUAAGUUCCCCGCCUGGGGAGUACGGCCGCAAGGCUA
rnacentral:rRNA from 1 species